rnacentral:tRNA from 1 species
UUACAAGCAGGAGGUCACUGGUUCGAAUCCAGUAUUGCCCACAUUUUUUAUAAUAAAAUUAAAUAUUUUUUCUUUU